rnacentral:rRNA from 1 species
UGAGUAACCUGCCCUUCACUCUGGGAUAACUCCGGGAAACCGGGGCUAAUACUGGAUAUGACUCGAACAGGCAUCUGUUUCGGGUGGAAAGAUUUAUUGGUGGAGGAUGGACUCGCGGCCUAUCAGCUUGUUGGUGAGGUAAUGGCUCACCAAGGCGACGACGGGUAGCCGG